AAGUGGGAGAAAGAAAGAAAAAAAGAAAGAAAAAGAAGAAGUUUUCACUCUUCCAUUUCCAUUGAUCUCCUGACGGACGCUCUCACUUUUUUGUUGUAUUCUUUUUUGUUU
rnacentral:ribozyme from 13 species